GUUUCAGUCAAACACGUCUGAAGCUUCACAGACACUGAGAAAAUCGUCAUAUAAUCACCACAUAAAAAAGCUGCAGAUCAACCAUGUCGAAGACAUCGAUGGAGAUCCAUGAUUCAAAGAUGAGUGAUGAGAUGCAGCGUGAGGCUCUUCAGGUCGCUCUUUUGGCUGUGAAUAUGUACACAAGUGGAUAUGACAUUGCUCUCUACAUUGUGAAGGAGUUUGACAGAAGGCAUGGGAACUAGUGGCAAUGCAUUGUGGGGAACUUUAGUUACUACGGGACAUUUCAAGGGAACACUUAUAUCAGCUUCUCUGUUGGUGGCAAAAACAUUACACUCUUCAAAUCUGCAUAAUAAACAACACACAAACAGCAAACACAACAUUCUGACAUCUCACAGUGUAAAAUCUUUACUGCAGUGGGAAUAAAAGAAUGACUGUACCGACUGAUUUCAAGUAGGGAUACUAUAAUUCAUACCAGAAGAAAUUAAAUUCAUGAACAGUGGAUGAGAUGAAGAGUAGGGUUUUACUUUAGCGCUCCUCCUCUCCAUCUCUCGCUCAAAGCAGACUAACGGUUGGAGGGGAGUGGUUUAAGCGUUUUCAACCCAAACCGUAGAACUGACGUUAUCAGGGAAGGAACUGUAAACAUUAUAAUAAGGAAGGAAUCCCAUUCCAGAACAGAAGUAACUUUUUAGAUUUUGAUUAAAGAUUACCACGACAAACUUUUUUUUUCUGUAUAUAAACUUACACGUAUUAAUUGUUCACCACAAGACUAGUAAAUAGUGUCAAUUUUGAUUUCAUGCUGACUUUAAGUAGUUUGAUUGGACGCUCAAGACAAGAUGUUGUUUGACCUAUAAAUAUGACCGUUCUUCUGAAUAAAUGUGAGAAUGCUUUCUAUCACA